CGUUGAAACACCGGUUCACGCAAGAUCACAGAAGUUAAGCAACGUCAAACUUGGUCAGUACUAAGAUGUGUGACCUUUUGGGGAUACCAGAUGCAGUAA